GGCUUCUCCUCCCCUUUCCUCUCUACUUGUCUCUCAGCAGGGUCCAUUUGGGGGCUUAGUCACUGGGGUAUGAAUCAGAGACUGCAUUUACACAGAACAGUGUGACUCAUCCUGCUGCCUUAAGCAUAGGAAUGCAUGCAAUGCAGGCCUGAAGAUGGCAGGGCUCUGGAACGGCUGCAUACUGACUCCAGCUAACCGACAGCCCUUUUCAUUUGUUGGUGAAAUAUAGCUGAGCGGUGUUAGUCACUGGCCCGGAUAGAGCAACUGGAGACGCAGGGAGACUUGGUGGAGAGGGCUCUGUCAAACAAACGCCAGAUGCUGGGAGAGGAGGCAAACACAGACCAUAUAGGCCUGGCUCUGCUGUAUGGUGAAGUGUUACUGGGCUUAGCCUUUUGCCUACUGGACUUGGAUGAGAGUGGGAAAUGUUUUGGCCUGGACAUAAGGUGCUGUGUGAUAGUAAGGGAGGGAAUGAUAUGCACAACUUUUAAACUUAUUUCAUUGGUCAAAAGGGGUACAGAACAUACAUUAUAUUAUUUACUUUGAGAUCCUUGGUAUGUCUGUCCAAAUAAUGACUAAUCAACUGUAGAAAUUGGGCGGUAGUCAACUUUGCAUGCUUGAUUCGACUGACAGGUAUGGUAAUUGGUUUCUGUUUUAUUUGUACAUUAAGCAUAUUGUCUGUUUGAAUGGUCUUGGUGAUGUGGUGAAAAGGGUGUAUACUUACUGUCACUGGAGACCAAGUCAUAACAUGCCGUCUUAUUAGUUCCUCAAUCAAAAGAUACACUUGUUGAGUUUCAACAUCUAAUCCUCAAUCAGCUCAAACAAUAAGCUGAAUAAGUACUGAUAGUACAUACUUACUUUCAAUAAUCAGCCCAUCUGUAAUAAUGUGUAUAAUCAUAUUUUGUUUUCUAGGAUUUUUUAAGAUGUGGUUUGAAUCAUUCAGAUUGUAACAGAAGGCUAAUUCGUUUUUCGAACAUUUUUUCUAGAUUUAUGUGCUUUUGGAACCCUGCCCUGAGACAUAUGCCAGUGUUUUUAUAUUAAAAUGUGAACAACUGUAUAAUUACACCACGCGGUCGAAUUACACACUCUGAUUUUGUACUCUGAUAUCCAUUCAUCUAUACAAGAGACCUGAAACUACAAAAAACCCUAAAGGCUGUCCGUCCCAAGACCAUAUCACUGUUCCUCCUGCUCAUAACUCUGACUGAAAACCCAUAAAGACUAACAUCUCCUGAGAGAUUUGAGGGGAGAGCUGCAUUCCUAACUUUUGGAAGUGAGGUCCAUUGGAGGACAGAUCUGCUGUUUGAUUGGAGAGUUGUCUUUUCAAUCAAGCUGCCAAGUGCAUAAGCCAGGGAGGAAGUCCAAGACAACAUCCACAUGAGGUUUUUCUGAAACAUACAAUUCCAAGGAGGAGGGAUUAGUGCUCUAACAGCACCCAUUAAUUGCCUUAACUAGAAAUAUUUUGUGAUUCUAAACCAACGGUUCUAACCAUAGAGUUCCUAUUAAAUUACUGUGUUUUAAUUCCUAAUUCUAUGGUUUCCAACAGCCUACAUAUUACUGGCAGCCAAAAAAAAUGAUGAAAUCAGGGGGUGGUUGAAUUCUUUUUUCCACUUUGUUUUCACUGGAUGUACAUUAGUAGCUACAUAGGCAAAAAAAUAUCCAUGAACAAACCUUAAUUUUGAUUUAGUCUACUA